ACCAGCAGCCCUUGGUGCCAGCACGUGGGCAAACACCCAGCACGGCUCUAGAGAAACAUAAACAUUGCCUACACGUGAGACCUUCCCGGUCUGGAAGCAGGCAGCCAAUCAGAGGGAGGAAUGAGAAGAUGACAGGGUUUUAUAAACAAAGCUGGCUAAGCCAAUCAGGGAGCGGCACGGCAACAGGUGGGCUGGGCGCUUUCACAAAAUGGCGGCUCCUCACUGUAGAAUGCGGCAUGAAACAAAAUGGUGCCCGCCACUGCAGGGUGGUGGGAGGGAUUGCCUGUCCUGGCCCAUCCCAAAUCCAGGAGGGCCACUCAGCAGCGUAGUCCGGCCCUUGGCAAAUGGCCCUUUCCCCGCCCUGCCAUGCGGUGUAUGCCCAGCGCCUCCAGCUGGUGGCUGGGAAGAGCUUCAGGCUGCAGCCGUGGCGCUGUGGAGCUGUGCUAGCAGCAGAAGCGGCACCUGUGCCUGCUGCAGUGCUCGCGAUCUGACCGGCCAAGUGGUAGCAGGUGCUCCACAGGACACCACGCAGAAGCAAAGGGUCCUGCAACUGUGAAUUUGGGGGAAUGUGAGAGAAGAGGUGGCCUGCGCAUCGUGACUGUGCUUAUGGGGUAUGAAGCUGUGGGGCACUGAUGGCUCGUGCAUGCUUCUUCACAUGCGCCUUCUUUUCUCGGUGAGGGAUACAAGUCAGCUGCGAGUCCGCAAGUAUGUCAGCAGGGAUGCGGGAGGCGGUGCCUUGCCUUCCAUGCCUUAAAGCCACACAGAAUACUGAAGAUGCCGGGCCAAACUUGCGCAAGCGUCCACAGCAUCAGAGAGCGUGCAGCAA